CUGUGGAUGGGUGUUGCAAAUGUAUGAGAAUGUAAGGUGAAUACUUACCAGGGGGGGAUCCUGGGCACCAAGCAGAGUACUUAAGUUAUGUACUAUGUGUUAGCAUUUAGAGUCUACAAUUGGAGAUGUGUGCACCAAGAUUCAAAAAUGAGUUUAGCUGUGUUUGAGGUCCAAGUGAUGUUAUCAGUUUCAGUAAAAAAUGUGUCUGCUGGAAUUAAUGGAAGGAUGUUGUGGUGUUCGGACAAUGUGUUGUUUAUGACUGUAAGGUUAUGUUGUUGUGUUUGAGUGAGGUGCGGUGAAGAUUGAAGCAGAGGGAAGUGUGUGGAGGCAUGGGGGAAGGCAAUGGCAGCAUGUCUGAAGAGUGACUUGAGCUGUUUUGUAGUCGUCUGCUUGGGGUCCUGAUCCCGAUUGUUGAUCCCGAUGGAGAAAACAACAAUCUUGACAGUCAAAUUGGGCUUAAAUUUCUUUAUUAUUUCAAGCAGAUGGUAUACUUUAGCCCCUGGGUAGCCGUCAAGCUGGAUAUGAGGGUUGUUGUGAGGGGGGAUUCUAGAGAUGUUGGAAUCCCCCAGUAUCAGGACUGGCUUGUCGGCUUUGAUGGUCCAGUCCUGUACUCUCCGGUGUGGUCUGGCGACGUGGCAGGUGGGCGUGAAUGGGGAUGGAAGGGAAGGAGUGAAUGGUGCCUGAAAAAAAGGAUGGUUAGGAAGGGGGGGAGGGGGAGGAGGGGGAGAAGGAAAGAGAAGAGGAGAGGGAGGGAGAAGGGGGGUAGGUGGGUAGGGAGUCCUGGGGAGGCUCGAGUCCAGAGCUGCAGGUGUGCUGGUCUCCAGAGGGGGGCCCGCCAAGCAGCACGGCCCCGUCGGACUGGACACAGGAGGGUUCAGUGAGGUUUGCGGUGCAGGCUGUUUGACCUUCCGGAUCCUUGUCAUCAUAUACCCUCCUGUGGUUGCGUGGUAUGCAGUCCGACGGAGUAUGCCGACCCGCAGAGCCCGAACAGGAACCAGCAACACCUGCAGGGGAAAGGCAGAGGGGGGGAGAAAAAAAAUUAAAGAAAGUGGUAGGGGGUGUGUGGACUCGAGCCUCCAACCACCUGUGUCGUGUACCACCCGGUGACUUGAAAGAAUUGCGUGUGGUGAGGGUGUCGUCUGCCCAUUUAAGACGAGUGGCGGGGGAGAUGAUGUGGCUAGGUUCAGUGCUCAGGGUUGCUGUGAAUUCAGAGGAGAGGUAAGAGGAGGGAUAGUGGGGGGUGUGGUAGCCGGAGUGGUCAGGGUCUGGGGAAAUGCCAGGAGGGGAGUGAUGGUUGGGGUCAGGAGAGGGGUAGUGGUGAAGGUCAGGGGUAAGAUGAGGGGCAGGGCUAGGAGGGGGGUGGUUGGAGUCAGGAGAGGGGCAGUGGUGAAGGUCAGGGGUAAGGUUGGGGUCAGGGUCAGGGGCUGGGGAAGGGAUAGGAGUGACCGGUGUGCAGGUAGGGGGUGUGCUUCGGGGACCUAGAAAAAGGGAAAGUCUGGUGGGGGAUUGUGCGCUGGGGAGGUGAGGGAACUCUUCCUCCGAGAUGGGAGGAAGGGGGGUGUACCACUGACCAAUAGUGCGGGGGGGUGGGAUGGGAGGGCGGGUGGUGGGGGGUGCAGUCAUGUUGAGUGUGUCAUGUACAAUGUGUGAAGUGUCUGCGGUCAGCCUGGGGCCAUAUCUCUUCCUGGCCCAACCCAUGGCAAUUUGAAGUGCCAUGGGGUUACGGGGUGUAUGUAUGAGUGUGUUAAUGGUGUUCUGGUAAUGUUGUUGCAAGAUGGUCAUGUUUGUGUGCAUCCAGUUUAUUGUGUUUGUAUGUACCUGUGUGCGUGUAUGUUCUGUGGGUGUAGAGGGCUUGAUGAAGUCUGUAAGUCGGGUGACUUGCUUCAUCAUGCCCGGUGGAAAUGUUUGUGUUGUGAGAGCCCUAUCCGUGACCUGUUUGUGGUGGAUUGCUUGAAUUAGCUUAAAAUACUGCUUACUAAUGUGUCUGGUUUGUGAGUCUGGUGGAUGGGUGAGUGUGGGGUAUACUUGUGUGUCUGAACCUGUAAAUCUAUGUGUGGUGUUUCUACGUGUUCUGGUGUUGGGUAUGUGUGUGCGUGGUUGUGUGGUGUUUGUGUUGUGUGUGGUGUUGUGUGUGGUGUUUCUGUGUGUGCGCCGUGCAUACUCACCACCUCCACUCGAAUGCACAGCCUGGCCCCUGUUAAAAGACAUUUUAAUCUUGGAUUUACUGGGCUCUUACCUAAUCCGGCGCUGUGUUGGGGCAGAUGGUUGGUGUCCCUCAGGUGGUAGGACAACGCCGGAAUGUUCGUAGUUUGCUCCGGGUUGUCCUAUGGAGUACUCAAGCAGAGCUGGUAUCUUGAUGUUUAAAAGUUCUUUUUUUGCUUGGUUUCCAGCAGCAGCCGGAGGGCAGAGCCCACACCAACAAUUAAAAUAUAUCUUUAUUGUUAAAAAUUUAGAAAAUGGUUAAUAAAAACCAAUAAAAGUGCAAAAACACAGGUAUAAAAACAUUGGGCCUAAAAACACUGAAUCUAAAAACACUAGGCUUAAAACACAGGGCUAAAAACACAAGGCUUAAGACAAGGGUUAAAAGACUAGGCUUAAAAAGACAGCGCUAAAAGACAC
rnacentral:lncRNA from 1 species